rnacentral:rRNA from 1 species
ACUGAACGCUGGCGGUAGCCCUAACACACGUACGUCGAACCGCAGUACAGUAAGAGCUUGCUCUUACGGGUGGCGAGCGCCGGCCGGGCGCGGAAAACCUUGGACUCUACCUCUUCGAGGAGGAUACCGUCGGGCAACCUACGCUAAUACCGCAUACGACCUUCGGCUGAAACAAGGGGCCAUACCGACCUCGCACGAGUGAUUGAGCCGAUCCCCGAUUAACUAGUUGGCGGGGUAAAGGCGCAUCAAGGCGACGAUCCGUAGCCGGUCUGAGAGGAUGAUCAGCCACAUUGGAACUGAGCCACGGUCCAGACUCCUACGGGAGGGAGCAGUGGGGAAUAUUGGCCAAUGGGCUCAGGCCUGAUCCAGCCAUACCGCGUGGGUGAAGAAGGCCUUCGGGUUGUAAAGCCCUUUUGUUGGGAAAGACAAGCGGCAGGUUAGUACCCCGCUGUUCUGACGGUACCCAAAGAAUAGGCACCGGCUGACUUCGUG